GAUGAACGCUGGCGGCGUGCCUAAUACAUGCAGGUCGAGCGAACAGACGAGGAGCUUGCUCCUCUGACGUUAGCGGCGGACGGGUGAGUAACACGUGGAUAACCUACUUAUAAGACUGGGAUAACUUCGGGAAACCGGAGCCAAUACCGGAGAAUAUAUUGAACCGCAUGGUUCAAUAGUGAAUGACGGUUUUGCCGUCACUUUUAGAUGGAUCCGCGCCGGAUUAGCUAGUUGGUAAGGUAACGGCUUACCAAGGCGACGAUGCGUAGCCGACCUGAGAGGGUGAUCGGCCACACUGGAACUGAGACACGGUCCAGACUCCUACGGGAGGCAGCAGUAGGGAAUAUUCCGCAAUGGGCGAAAGCCUGACGGAGCAACGCCGCGUGAGUGAUGAAGGUCUUCGGAUCGUAAAACUCUGUUAUUAGGGAAGAACAAAUGUGUAAGUAACUAUGCACGUCUUGACGGUACCUAAUCAGAAAGCCACGGCUAACUACGUG
rnacentral:rRNA from 1 species